AUUGAACGCUGGCGGCAUGCCUAACACAUGCAAGUCGAACGAGUGGCGGACGGGUGAGUAAUGUCUGGGAAACUGCCCGAUGGAGGGGGGUAACCAUUGGAAACGGUAGCUAAUACCGCAUACCAUCAGAUGUGCCCAGAUGGGAUUAGCUAGUGGGUGGGGUAACGGCCCACCUAGGCGACGAUCCCUAGCUGGUCUGAGAGGAUGACCAGCAACACGGGAACUGAGACACGGUCCAGACUCCUACGGGAGGCAGCAGUGGGGAAUAUUGCACAAUGGGCGCAAGCCUGAUGCAGCCAUGCCGCGUGUAUGAAGAAGGCCUUCGGGUUGUAAAGUACGGUCAGCGGGGAGGCGUUACCUGAAGAAGAAGCACCGGCUAACUCCGUGCCAGCAGCCGCGGUAAUAC
rnacentral:rRNA from 1 species